AACGCAUUAAAGUGCCCGCUGGGGAGUACGGCGCAAAGGCUAAAACUCAAAGGAAUUGACGGGGGCCCGCACAAGCGGCGAAGCAUGCGGAUUAAUUCGAUGCAACGCGAAGAACCCUUACCAAGGCUUGACAUGGACCGGUAACGCCUGGAAACAGGUGCCUCACUUUGUGGUCGGUUCACAGGUGGUGCAUGGUUGUCGUCAGCUCGUGUCGUGAGAUGUUGGGUUAAGUCCCCGCAACGAGCGCAACCCUCGUUCUAUGUUGCCAGCGGUUCGGCCGGGGACUCAUAGGAGACUGCCGGGGUCAACUCGGAGGAAGGUGGGGACGACGUCAAAUCAUCAUGCCCCUUAUGUCUUGGGCUUCACGCAUGCUACAAUGGUCGGUACAAAGGGUUGCGAUACUGUGAGGUGGAGCCAAUCCCAAAAAGCCGGUCUCAGUUCGGAUUGAGGUCUGCAACUCGACCUCAUGAAGUUGGAGUCGCUAGUAAUCGCAGAUCAGCAACGCUGCGGUGAAUACGUUCCCGGGCCUUGUACACACCGCCCGUCAAGUCACGAAAGUUGGUAACACCCGAAGACCGGUGGCUCGUA
rnacentral:rRNA from 1 species